GUCUAUGGCCAUACCACCCUGAAGGUGCCCGAUCUCAUCUGAUCUCAGAAGCUAAGUAGGGUCAGGCCUGGUUAGUACUUGGAUGGGAGGAACCUCAAGUGACUUUUUCAAAGUCACAGAAC
ensembl:rRNA 5S_rRNA 5S ribosomal RNA